rnacentral:rRNA from 1 species
UUACUAAAGUAGUAAUAGAUAUGAGCUUGAAACUUAAAGAAUUUGGCGGUAUUUUAAUCUUUUCAGAGGAACCUGUUCUAUAAUCGAUAAUCCUCGUUUAAUUUUACUAAAUUAUUUGUAUAUCGUUGUCGAAAGAAUAAAUUUUCUAAAAUUAAUAUUUUAAUAGAUGUCAAAUCAAGGUGCAGUUAAUAAUUUAGAAGAAAUGGGUUACAAUAAAAUUAUUUAGAAAUUAGACGAAGGUGGAUUUGAAAGUAAAUUAAUUUUAAUAAGAU